UACGGAGGGUGCGAGCGUUGUCCGGAAUCAUUGGGCGUAAAGGGCGCGUAGGUGGCCCGGUCAGUUCGUGGUGAAAGCGCGGGGCUCAACCCUGCGUCGGCCAUGAAUACUGCCGCGGCUGGAGCACUGUAGAGGCAGGCGGAAUUCCGGGUGUAGCGGUGGAAUGCGUAGAGAUCCGGAGGAACACCAGUGGCGAAGGCGGCUCACUGGUCCAUUACUGACGCUGAGGUGCGAAAGCGUGGGAGCAAACAGG
rnacentral:rRNA from 1 species